AGAAAGAGAUGUUAUCAACAGUCAUUCUUGUCACAGGAGUGAAGAAGCUCCUAAUUUCAGCAUGUAGUUAGACCAGCCGCUCUGUUUGGAUAAUUAAAUGGCAGCUGUGACAAGGUAGGCCUUUUCCAGAUAUGCUUGUUGAGAAGGUACAAACCCCUCUUCCUGAUUACUGCACAGUGACACACCAUGUAGAGGCACCCGAGACCCGGUGUGUUUUUUGAAGCUGGGAAUAAGCUCACAUUUUGUGUCUCAUUGCAGGUGAAGAGGUGUGGGCUGGCUGUAAGUAAGUUCAUCCCCCAGUGUCAGGAGCAUGUUUGGGCAGGGUUUUCAUGUGCUCAGAGGGUGUGUGGCUCCAGAGUGCUGUGGGGGUGGAGGGGACUCUCUGACUCCUCUGCACGUGGCUCAACAACCAUCAAAGUGACUUGCCAGUAGCGAUUUGAGCCAUGCUGAGAUCUCUGCUUCUCCAGAACAAGCCCACUUUGGGACUUAUGCUUUCUAACCUGCAUCAGUUACCACUAAAGUUCUGCAUCAAAUUUCAGAAAUGCAUGCUAACCUUUAAAAAACUAAAUGUCCUAAAUACAAUCUAACUUGAGAACGGGGACUGUUUUUAGGGUUAUAUACUUGUGGUAUUCCAACCAGGAGUAUUCCAUUCAGUCUGGCAGAGUAGGGCUCUGACAGAGGUAGGAUUUUGCUGUGGACUCUGGAGCUUUGAAAUUCACUCCUUUGAGAAGGAGAAUAAAAUGAAGGCAGCAAAGGGUGGGAGGGUUAGAGACAUGUUGAUUUACUGGAAUAAUCUGGAUUUUUUUGGGAGAAAGGUCUGACUGCAUUCAGUAUAACUGGAUAUAUAUCUAAUUAAUGGCAGAAUGCCCAGUGCUUUUGGAAAGCAUUUAUGGACCCAAAGUAAUAAUUCAUUGCACGAUGGAUCCUUAGCAAAGGACCUGACUGUGAUCUGUGCCAGGACCACUCUCUAGCUUGGUUUCUCCCUGCAUUUUAUGUUGUGAUGCAUAUUUGCAGGCCUCCUGAACCUAAGAUCGAUGGGUUAGAAACCUGUUUUGUAGAAGAAAUGUGUCCAGUUAAACUUAUUCUAUCUUAAAACCAUAAAAUUUAUUCUUUGCUCUUGUGUGACAUUGUUUUAGGGUGUUUUAGGUCUCUUUACCAGCAGCUUAUGCACAUCCAUAUCUCUGGUAGAAUAAGUUUGCAGAGAUGUGCAACAAAUAUUAUAAAGGCCCUCUAUGCCUUCAAAAUACAUUUUGAAGCUAAUGAUUAACUUUGCAUAAUAGGUUGACUACUUCUACAGCAAGGUGGUGUGACAGACUGGAAAAUCUAUUCAUUUGUUUUCCUAUUUAAAAGAAAAAUAAGUGCAGAGCCAUAAAUAAGGAGGUGAAGCAUAACCACUUAGCACACAAAUGUAUAUUAAGCAGCACUUGAUGGGUACGUUUUACAAUUUGUUCCUGAGAGCAUUGCUGACCUGUGUAAUUUCAAGUGUGCAGUAAAAUGAAGGCCUUCUAGAUGGAUCUGGCAAUAUCAACUCACAGGAUGCUCUGUGGAACACCUGGACAAUUGCAAAGGCAAUUGUAAUUCAUUCUAAAGGUUGCUUUUCAGGCGUAUUUUCUGGAGUUUUGAGGUUAUAUUUUCAUAUAAGAGGACAGCUUGGUAACUGAGGAGAAAAUGUUAUCUUAUCUGAAGCUUGAAAACACAUUUUGGGUUGUUUGGGGUUUUUGGUUUUACUUUUUUUUUUUUUUUCCCCAGAAUUAUGGUAGGGUUUUCUCAAGAAAUUCCUGAAAACUACUAAGCAAAAAUUUAUCUUCAGUGAACUCUACUGGUAUUGUUGUUUUUGUCAUGUAAUCAUUACUUUUUAAGUGUUUUUCUACUCCUGACUGGUCUUCUAAGGGUUUUCUUUGUCAGAAUGUAGAUCCCUUCUAUAUAUCACAUUAAAUCUCACUAAAUCUCACUGAUGUUUAAGUGUCUUUUAAGAAAGAGACAAGUGAGGCAGUGUCUUAAGAAUCACAAAAUGCUUUAAAAGACAAAUUUCCCAUACUAGUAUGAUGCCCAACCAUAUUUUUUUGUUUGUUUGUUUCUACUCUGAAUUAAUUAUUCGGUAAUGUUGGGUUUAUUACUACAGCUUUUAUCUGCAUUUCAGAUAGUCAGACUUGGCAAAGGCAAUUUGAGGUCAUUGCCCCCCCCCCACCAAGUUAAAAGGACCAGAGCUCCUGCUGGGACAUCCUUGCUCCCAGCUGCAAUGAACAGUGGUAGACUAUUCUAAUUUUUUUUAAGCUCUCAGUAUUUCUGCUGAUACUUAAAUAGGGAUUGCUGACUUUUUGGUAUUUCUGAAAAUGUCUGUCUUGUCUUAGCAUCCUCAGCAAAUGGGAGCUCAGCUCUACUGAAAAUUUGGCUUCAGGUCUGUAUACUUAUGGCAACUUCCCCUGUGAAUAGUGAGUUCUGUUGUUAAUUAAUGCAAGCUUUGUUAUAAUUUCAUCAUUCCUUCUGUUAGGCAAAUUUUCUGUUUAUUAUAACUAUCAUGGUAGUGUUUAUUUGCCUUAGUCAAGAACUCAGGCCUCAUGGUUUAUGGAAAUAAUAAUUACUGCUAGUUUCCUUUUUUAGCACUCUUUCUUAAGGAAACAUGGGUCAUGCUGUCAUGCUGUAUGUCUGGCAGCCUACUCCAAAUAACUUUGGAAUCUUUUAAUUAAUUCCAGCCAAAGUUUACUGUGGGAGUUCUACCAAUUUUGCGGAAACUGGCUACCAGCAAGAGGAGAAGGUGAUGCAAAUCAGUGUUCCUGCUGCAAGGAAGACCGUGUUGUGAGCUUAUGUUAUUUCCUUUCUGGAAGCAGGCAUGUGCCGGUUGGCCAAGCAGCAUAAAUAUACCUCUUGUGCUACCUCUUCAGUAAUCAGGAAAUCCUUGAGGGAGGUGGCUGCACUGUGUCCUCAUUUUGAACAAGAAUGCAAGAGUGGAGGGAGGUUGUAAGUAGCAUAGAGGAGGACUUGGAUAUAUUGAGUGGGGAUUUGGGAAACAGUCUUCAUUAGCUCUGCAGCACUCAGAUUAACUAGAUUUAUUUUUUUAGUGUACUUUGGAGUGCAGAUAUUCACUAGGAUUUUAAUGGGAGUCUUCCUAAGAAGAACUGGGAAAAUCCAUGGGAAAUCUUAGAAGUGAUGAUGAUGAUUUUCAGGACUACUAAGGGUCCCAGAAAAACACAUUUUGGAUAUCACAGAUGCUCUACAUUGACUGGAUAACAAGCUAAUGUGAUUAAGAAAUGAGGAAUUCUUCUCUGGAUUGGAUACCAUAAAUAUUUUUUAAUUAAUGGUUUUAUUUCAUUUUAUUUAGCAUUUUAAUGCUAAACUAGUGUCAUGGCUGAAUGCCAGCUUUUGGACAAAUUCCAGCUUAAGUAAUUGCAUCCUAUCUAAUGAAUUUCCCUAUCUGGCAUUAACUGGAAAAGCUGUUCUUCACUUCCUGUUUUAACCUUGUCUAUAAUGUUGCUGUGUGCUAUAGGUUACUAUGAUUAAUCCUGGAAAUGUCUGCAUUUUAAUAGAUAAAUACAUAUGCACUAGGCAAGUUUAGGAACAAAACAACUAGACAGAUAUGUCCCCCUUCCAUCUUCCAUGCUGCAUCACCUGUGAAGCAAGAAUACUGCCCUCUUUCAAAUAAAAAUAUUCCCACUCAAGCAUUACUAAUCACACUCUUCUCCAGUAGCUGGAAACCUUAAAAACCAUAAUAUAAGCUUUAAUUCUACUGAUAGGUAUGGAUAUUAGAAGGGUUCUUUUUAGCUGGAGUGGCAAAGAUCCAGAGUUAAAGGUUCUGGAUUUACUCCACAGUGUCUCAAGGACCUUGUUCAGGUGUGGCCUGUACAUGUGCAGCUGGCCAAGCCUUUGUUCAUGUGGCUGGGGAGGGAAGGAAGAAAUCUUACACAAAAUAGAUCAAGUGAGAACUCUUUACUACUGUUUUUACAAAAUUAAAUUAAAUUUCUCUAAUCUCAAGUGGUAUUUACAAUAUAAAUUAUCUAUAUAUAUUCAGCCUCGUAGCAUCCAAAAUAAUUAAAGCCAGAAAACAUGUUUCUAUUCAUAAAUUCUUGGGAGUUUUUGACCAUAUUGGCUGCCUAUUCUUAGUUUGCCUUCCUGGAUUUGCAUGCUGAAUUUAAAUAUGCAGCCUUAGCUAUUGAGAACACUUUCUUCAAGUUUCCUUUGUUUUGCAAGGCAUGCUGAGACCUACAUAUGAAGACAAAUUUGAAGAAAAUUGCUUUAAUAAUGUUAUGCACAAUUAAAAUGUGCAAGCUCUGGGACCACUUUCCUGAUGUGAGUGUAUAUAUUUGGACACAUAGAACAUGAAGUAGAAUUUUUUUCAGCUUUCUCAGUGUUAGCAUUUCUGUGUGGCAGAAGGCUGAUGUUAUGGAAACAUAGCUAAUUAUUUUGUAGAUCUAUGUGUUAGGUUUCACAGGCUCUUUGAAAACUCACAUUAGGUAAUUUGAUGACCAUCUACUGCCUUGUAUAUCACAAGCCAUCAAGCCCCACUUGACAUUCUGCAAUCACAGUAAUGAUACUAUGGGCUACAGACUUUUACUAGAACUCUGGAGACUAAGGGUGAUACAAGAAUUGGCAACAGUCUUACUGUUCCAUACCUUAUUGUUAUGCACGGACACUUUAUUUCUGAGCUGAAUUGGUGCACCUUCAUAUUUCAGCAAUUGUAUCUUAUUACGCUAAGUUCUUCCUGCCUAUCAAGAACAUCCAGCCCCAGGAGUUUCCUCUGGGAUUCAAAAUCUGGUGAAUUUAUUUUUUAACCUUCAUUCACACUGCAUCUGAGGUGUGAUAUAGAUUCCUGUUAUUUGCUGAAGUAAGGGAAUGUUGGCAGUAUCAAGCUCUUUACAGGAGGACUGACAUGACUAGAUGCUCCUUUGAAGAUUUACCUCACUAUCUUGGAGGAACAGCCCAGCCACUGUGGGAACAAAACUGCUGCAUCUGGGCAGCCCCUUCCCCAGCUGUCUGACUAGCAUUGAGCUGGUUCUGCCCCUGUAGAAGUGACUGUAAGGUGAAGUAGACACGUUCUUCAGAGCUGCCAGUUCUUGUAUCUUGCCCAGUAGGGCACGCUCAAACAUCAACAAAUCGCUACCUUGAAUGGAAACAUCACAGGAAAAGUCUUCAUGUUUUUGGAACAAAGUCACAUGUCAUUGUGCCUUCGUGGUGUUGAUGAAUGUCCUUGUGACACAGAAAUGUUUCCCCUUGUGAUGACAGGUUUCGGAUCUCUGUGGAAGUGCACAGUGCCCCGGGGCACGUUUGGAUAUGGAGAACAAACUUUAUUGGUGAUAGAUUCAAAUUGCUUAAAAGAAGGUGCUAUAUCUGACAAGAAGCAUUUCUUCAGGCACUCUGCAUUUACUGCCAGGCUCUCACCACAGUGCUAUAAACACCAUCUUUUGAAGAAUUACUUCUGCUUUCAAGACAUAUGCAAUGGGUGCUAGGAGCUUCCAGAACUGCUUAUAAAAUGGCACUGUGAAGGCUUGCAAACAGGGUCUCAGAAGAUGGACUGAGGUGCCCAUUUCUCUGUGCUGCUACUUUCUCUCUUGUUUUUUCAGUGUGGAGGUGUUUCUUAACAUCAGAGAUGAGAACAAACUGCAGUAUCCAGAUCUGGAGACAAGCAUCCUUAAAUUAUUAAUGUACAAUUUAUCUUUGGUUUUAAGAAUGGAGGAACAAGAAGGAUGAUGGUAACACUUUGAAAAGCCCUGUGAGAUCUUCAGUCAGUCAGUUAACACUGUUGACUGCUUCUUCUAAGCCACAAUGAAUUCAGUGUGUGAAAUAUUUGAAAAUUAUCUAAUUGGAGAAAGUUGUCUUGCAUUUGACCAUUUUCUUUUUGCAACACAUUGAUCUGCUGAUAUAUUACAGUCAACCAGCUCAAUGCACUGUUGAGAUAUUUUAUUGUAAUACAUUAACAGAGCAAUGGUCAUUGAUUGAUAACAGGGGAGCAAAGGAAGAUAUCUUCUGUAUGUUUUGCUUAAAAUAAAAUAUAUAAAAAAGGAGAUAUGCUGGGAAAUACUCUGUUCUCACUCCAUUACAAAUCCAAUAACAUUUCAUUGACAUUUGUGGGGUUUCUCCAGAGUAGUAUGUGGUAUGGCUGAGAACUGAAUUUGUGUUGCAUACACUAACAUCCUGUCAAUAUCCUCUUUACCAGGCACAUUUUCUAAUAUCAGAUGCUUUGUUUGUAUUGAAAUAAAAAUCAGAUAUACAGUUAUAAUUUGGGUCUAGAAUGAUCUUUGCAAGUUUUCAGUCAGUUAGUAUUUAGGCAUGUGCAUGUAUGUCUUUGUGUAUGUAUAUUUCUUUGAAUAAUUAAUGUGAUGAAUAAAGCUAUACUUUACCUCA